GGGAGGGAGGUGCCUUAGGAUUUGGACGUGAGCUGUUGGGUAGAGACAGUAGCAGUCACUGGGGCAGGGAUCCCCAGAAGAGGAAUAGAGGGAGGGCAAGGUCAUGAACUCUGUUCUGACCAGGUUGAACUUCUCUGGUUCUUUCCAACACCAAGUGGUAUCUAACACCCGUUCUCCAACAGGGUGUCCAACAAUUCAAUUCUGACAUUAUCUACCUGGAGCUACUGUCUGUCUCCACAGUUUAGAGGCUCAGUCCCACAACACUGCCCCCACUGCAGAAGCCACUUGCAAAUGGGUGCCCAGGCUGCCUGCAUUUCUGCCCCGCCAGCUACCAGUUAGUGUUCCCACAGCCCGUCUCCAGCUUCCAGAUGUCUCGUGGAACUCAGGAAAACACUCUGCUUGAGUUCACAAGUUUACUGUAAAGAAGAAAACUCAGGAAGUGGCAAAGGGAAGAGAUAGAAGACAGAGUGUGGGAUGGGCAUGGGACUUCCGGGACCCCUCUGGGUGCACCAGCCUCCAGGGUCUCCACAUGCUCCCCACCCAGAAGCCCCACCAGCCUUGCUCUUCAAGACCUCUGGAGCUCAGUCUCCAGCCCUUGCCCCUUUCUGGAGGUCAGUGGGUGGAGUUAUGAAGGUCCUCCUCUAAUGACUUGGUGUUUCUGGUACCCAGCCCAUCUGGAGGCUCUCUGCGGAGCCCACUCUAAGUCAUCUCAUUAGCAUAAAUUCAGGUGUGAUCAAAAGGGUCUCUUUAUAAGAAACAAUUAUGUUACAACAAAAUAACACUAACAAUGUAAAUAAUAACAAAUGUCCUAUCAGAAAAUUCCAAGAGUUUUAGCCUUUCUAUUCCAGGAACCAAGGACAAAGACCAAAUGUCUAUUUUUAUCAUACGACAGUAGGUCUAUAGCUGAGAAGGGACGAGGGUCCAGGACUGAGCUUUGAGCAGCCCUGAUGUUCCCAGGUCAGCAGGAGGAGGAUGAGCCUGCAAAGGGGAUAGAGAAUGAACAGCCAGAAGGGUUGGAGGGAAUGGGAGAGGGUUGUUCUCAGAAGCCAAAGAAGGACUUCAGAAGCAGAAACGGUGUGCACCCACCUUGGGGCCCAUGAGGACUUUGGGAUCCUCCCCCUUGCCUCCCAAAAGGUACAGAAACAAUGGGUGAUCUGUGGCUCCCACACCACUCCUCCACUCUGGCACAGUGGGUGGUGGGGAUGGACUACUCUCCCAAUCUCACUGUCCCCUAAGCUUUCUCCUGGGGACAGGGCCUAGGUCUUCUCUACUCUGAGAUGCAAAGCCCUGAAGUUAAUAGUUAAAUGAUGUAACAUGCAAAAUAACUUCUUGAAAUUUAGACUGUGCAGUCUACCCCCACUGAAGUGUGUUCAGUCCUACUUCAAACAUCAUGUGCCUCCACUGCUAAAAGAUUUACUCCGGGCAUUCAGAGGCUCCAAGCUUUACCGUUUGUUCAUGUUACCUAUUGCUGCAUAACAAACCACCCCAAACAGAGCUGUUUUUUAAAAUAACAAAUUUUUUCUCUUUAUUAAUCUGUAGAUUGGGCAGGGCUCUCUCAGGAAUAGCUUGUCUCUUCUCUAUUUGCAGUGGUUUGAAGGCUGGGGCUGGGAUCAUCUGAUCACCAGGUUUGGGGUCUGGACCCUUCCUAGGUGAUACACCACGGCAGUGUUGCACUCAAACCCUGUAGUCAGAUUCCAUAGGUAGCAUUCUCAAACCCCUCAUGGAAGUCAUAAGUGGUUCCUGCACUGCCUUUUAAGCACAAAUCUUUGCCAAAUUACCAAAUGUUUCAGCUGUUUCCCAGGCCACGCUUGCACAACCAGAGAUAGUUCAGGUGCUCCCCAGUUCGGAUGCUCGACGCCAAAAAUUAUGAAUGAGUAGACCGAAAACCUGGAAUAACUUGGCCAAGUAACAAAACCAUGCCUUAGAACUUCCAGACCCAGAUUGCAGGCCUCCUGUAUUAGAUAUAUGGCAACCAGUUCUGCUCUUCCAGGGGCACAUGGAGGUGUGCAGAUCCCAGUAUGACCAAUGACAAGGGUCGUGAAACACAUUAGAUCUGGAGAAUUGCAGAUUCCACUCUGACUUUGACCAUGAACAGCACUGGUCUUUUUCUCUCUUUUUAUUUUAUGUGGCAACAAGGCAUGUAAAGGGUUUUCACUUAAAAGGUCAGGACAGUGUGGACUCAGAUAUCUGGAACUUUCCAUCACCAUGUACUGUAUCUUGAAUGCUAGCCACAUCACAAACUCGGACUCCUUCACCCAUAUAGUAGUGCCACAUAAACAUACCAGAUGAGAUGUCAUAGAAUACCCACUAUAUCCUCACUCCAAGUUCUUUUCAAUGUUGAGAACCUUAUUUCCAAGUUUUAGAAUUUAUGGUUUGGAAAAGGUGAUCCUAAAUCUUCCCAUGGUAAUAGAACCAGAGUUCAAUACUACUGUGCAAACACUGGAAGUAUUCCAGUCAGAAAUGAGUAGUUUAGCGACUAUCAUACUCCAAAAUAGUUGUGCCCUGGAUACACUGACUGCCCAACAAGGAGGAGCUUGCACAGUCAUUGGUGAAAAAUUCUGCUUCUGUGUGAAUCAGAUAGGAUAAGUGGUGUCCAAUUCGUACCUUUAAAAACAGGAAGUUAACACUCUAUCAGAUCAAUGAGGCUCAACCAUUUGAUUGGACUGGCCUAUUCCCGGGAUUGGGAGGCUGGUUUAAUGGUAUAAUGAGAAGUAUGUUUAGAUGUUGUUGUUGUUCUGUUUGUUUAUUCUUGUUCUAAUCCAUCUUCUUCUCUUCUUUUGCAAAUCUGUUACCACUCAGCUACUGAUUCAAUUUUUCUCUUCACAUCCACCAAGUCAGCUUUUAAUAUGUGAUGCUUCCUGUGAAGUUUCAGAUAGGGAAUUGAAGGGGAUCAGAACAUGUGACCCCAAAAUAUGUCAUUUUAGCAUGUUGAUUAUUUUGAGCUGGAAGCAAUUGAGAAGAUGCUGGAAGACCUCUCAAACUUCCCCUUCCUACCUAAAAGCAGGACGUAAAUAUUCUAUAGGAAAGAUGCCUGCCUUCACCAAGAAGAGGAGAGUAUUCUUAUCAUUAGAGAUGGGAAGUCAUUGCAGAGAUGAAUCUGUGCAAACAAACCUACUAAAUUAACCUUUAUCUUUCAUUAGUUUCCUCCAUAUAUUUCCUAGUUACUUUCUGACAGUUUACUGACCCCAGCUCAAACCCCUUUUUCCUUUGUUUUAUUACAUCUCCACAAUUUACCAUUCUUUAUUAAAAGGGUGUGUAAACUCUCAGACCUAUCCAGUUCUUUGGGUUUCUAUUUCUUACAUAGGAAGGGCACUGUGUACACAUAGAAAUAUUCGGAUUAAGUAAAAUUUGUAUGCUUUUCUCCUGUUUAGCUGCCUUUGUGAGUUUAAUUCUCAGGCCCAGUCACAGAACCUAAAAAGGUAGAGGAAAAGUUUUUCAUCUCCUACACUAUAUAUAAUAUGCCAAAGUAUUUUUUUAAUAUUUAAAAAUUUUAAGGAUUUCAAAAGAGCAAAAGCAUUUUAGAAAUAACUUUCCUAACUCUUCUUUGGCUUUUUGAAAGAGAUUAGCUUGCUUAAGCUAAAGCCACAGUGAUUUUUCAGGGGCUUAACUGCAGCAGUGGAAACUUUCAAGAAAAAUGCCUUAUAACUUGAAGGGAUCAAGUUCUAUAGCACCUUAGGCCCCAUUUAUCAACGGAAACUGAAAUAUGGCAAGGGAAUAAACUUGUAAUGAAUUUGAAAAAAAACAUGACCCUGCUUGCCUGGAUCAUUUGUUUUCUCAUAUGAGUGCCUUCUAAUAGAAUUGAGGAACCGGAAGGGCUCAGAAAAUAAAGCCAGAGAGAUUUAAAUAAUGUGUUUGACCAAAGCCAUUUAGCCAAUCCAGAAGAGCCAGUACUAGAAUGACAUCUAGUACAGCUGACACCUACUGGUCACCGUGUACUAAACACUGCUUACAUCAUUCGUCAUCCUCACACAGCCCUAUGGGAUGAGGAUGAUGAUUACACCCAACAACAGGUCUUGGAGGUUGAGAGAGGUUAAAUGAACAGCUCUUGUUACCCAGGUAGCAAACUGCUGAGCCAGGAACUGAGCUGAAGGGCACUGGCACAGUCCACCGUCUGAGCCCCAUUGCAGCCCUCUCUGGAAUUCCACUUGAGACAGGUCAUGUUGCUUUUGAUUUGGAAAAAAAAAAAAAAGUACCCAGUUAAAAGGGGCCAUCCCACCUUCUUACAACCAAGGGGAUGAGGAGUAAAUAGGAAAGAUUUGAGGCUUUUUAUGUGUUUUUAAAAUUCUUACUCUCUUUGGCUUCUCCAUGUCAAUGUGCUUUACUUAUGCUUACUUGAUUAAGACUUUAACAUGAUUUGCAUAAUCUUGUCUCAGUGUUACUUGUAGGUCGGAACUGACUGGCCUGAGGAUGAAACCCAAAAUGUUUCUAAAAGUAACAAUAAUGUAAACUUUAAAUUCUGCAAUUAUUGUUAAUGUACAAGCGAUACAAAUUUGUUAAGGUUACUGAAGAAAGUUGAAGAACCGUCCUUCAUAUUUUAGAAGAAGAACCCUAAAUGGAUUCUGCUUCUGAAGAAUCAGUUUUAACUCAGUUUUACUUCUAUUUAUAUGAUUCCGUUAGUUGUGUAAUCAUUGAUUUUACAUGCUGUUUUUAGUAAUAAAAUUCUUAGACUAUUUCCACCAAAUAAAAAUUAAAGAUAAAAAACCCUUUACAUUCUAAAGGGACCACUAGAAGAUAGUUGACUUUCUUUCUAUUAAUUCUUCAAGUUUUAGUGUCAAGUUUUCAUUCUCAUAUAGAUCUUACACCCCUUUUAAGUCAUUUCACUUGUAUUUCAUAGUUUUCUAAAAUUUAAUUUUGGAUGACUGUAAAUACGCAUCAUGAUAAACACAAGUAUGUGAAAAUGUCAGCUCUUGAUACAUGUGACAGGAUUCUAACUGAUGAACAGAAAAAACCGUUGGGAGUCCAGGACUGACGGCGACCUCCAACUUCCACAUCAUCACCAGGAGCAGGUCCCGUCCCCAGCCUCUUUCAGCUUCUGGGAGGAACGCCCUUGGUUCGCCUUCUCAGCUUCCCUGCCCACAGAGCCUGCCCGUUUUUCUAUGGGAGGUGGAACUAAAGGGUUAGGGAAAUGACCGCGUUUGACAGUUUUCUUUGAGGGAAGAACUUUGCGUUCUCACUGUAUGACAGUGACCAUGCCUUCUGUAAUCCUCAUAGGAACCUAGUGAGGUGGUGGGGCAGGCAGCGUGGCUGACCUGCCCUAACGGGUAUCCCCAUUGUCCCACACAAAGCCCCUGGCUCGGGGGAAGCUGACCCCACCCUGCUCCAGAAGGGUGUCCGCGUGACCUACAACCAGCCUAGGACGAGUUCAGGAAGGAGCAAGUAAGAUGUGGUAGCGGGAGCCUUCGAGGAGUCUCCGGAGGGAAGGUUCCUUUUUUCUCAGGAGAAAGUGAAAGAUAUAGCCUCUCUUGUUCCCUGGACAUUGUUGCAUCACCCUGAAUGGUCGCAGCCACCCUGCUACCGUCAGAGGUGAAGCCAUGAGCAUGAGAAAUGGAAGCGAGAAGAAUGGAGGUCCUUGGCGUGGUCAUGUGUUUGAAUGGCUGGAUCAAUGCUUCUCAAUGAGCCGGCUAUCGGCAUUUUCAGCAGAACAGUUCCUUGAUGUGGUGGGCUGCUACAAACAUUCUAACAUCUCCAACGUCCAUGAUCCCACCCUCAGAAUGCUGCUUGCAGCCCUUGGAAUUGUGACAUCCGAAAGUUCUACACCCCUGUUCCCAAGCACCCCUCCUUGGGUGGUGAUACCAUCUCAACCCCGUUGACAGCAAAGAUGCACUGUGGCUAAACCUCCUAUUGUGUGGGAUGAAAAACACAACCUUAGGUUUCAGCCAGCUGGAGUUGAGUUGACUGCUCCUUGCAGCCCAGAGUGUCCAAACAGGAAGACAUUAUAAUAAUAAUUUUGAAAGAAAGAAUACAUUGAGCCUCCAAGAGCUCAAGAAAUGUGCCCAAGGCUAUCAGUGAAUUGGUAACAGAGCCAGGAUUUGGCUCAAGGUCUAACUCUACGGCCUGGCUAUUUUCUCCCUGUCUACCUUCCUUCCGGUCACAUGCAAGUUACUCUGGCUGAUCGCUGUUGCCUGCCUAGUGUGACCCACCUCCAGUCCUCUGGUGCAGCUCUGAUAGAGAAAUCUUUGAUGCCAACUAUAUCCACCUACCAAGUAUGUUCCGAACUCCUCACCCCAACAUGAUCUGACACCGAC